rnacentral:rRNA from 1 species
GGGAAGGUUCCGGAUUAUUGGGCGUAAGAGCUCGUAGGCGGUUUGUCGCGUCUGCCGUGAAAGUCCGGGGCUCAACUCCGGAUCUGCGGUGGGUACGGGCAGACUAGAGUGAUGUAGGGGAGACUGGAAUUCCUGGUGUAGCGGUGAAAUGCGCAGAUAUCAGGAGGAACACCGAUGGCGAAGGCAGGUCUCUGGGCAUUAACUGACGCUGAGGAGCGAAAGCAUGGGGAGCGAACAGGAUUAGAUACCCUGGUAGUCCAUGCCGUAAACGUUGGGCACUAGGUGUGGGGGACAUUCCACGUUUUCCGCGCCGUAGCUAACGCAUUAAGUGCCCCGCCUGGGGAGUACGGCCGCAAGGCUAAAACUCAAAGGAAUUGACGGGGGCCCGCACAAGCGGCGGAGCAUGCGGAUUAAUUCGAUGCAACGCGAAGAACCUUACCAAGGCUUGACAUGGGCCGGACCGGGCUGGAAACAGUCCUUCCCCUUUGGGGCCGGUUCACAGGUGGUGCAUGGUUGUCGUCAGCUCGUGUCGUGAGAUGUUGGGUUAAGUCCCGCAACGAGCGCAACCCUCGUUCCAUGUUGCCAGCGCGUAAUGGCGGGGACUCAUGGGAGACUGCCGGGGUCAACUCGGAGGAAGGUGGGGACGACGUCAAAUCAUCAUGCCCCUUAUGUCUUGGGCUUCACGCAUGCUACAAUGGCCGGUACAAAGGGUUGCGAUACUGUGAGGUGGAGCUAAUCCCAAAAAGCCGGUCUCAGUUCGGAUUGGGGUCUGCAACUCGACCCCAUGAAGUCGGAGUCGCUAGUAAUCGCAGAUCAGCAACGCUGCGGUGAAUACGUUCCCGGGCCUUGUACACACCGCCCGUCAAGUCACGAAAGUUGGUAACACCCGAAGCCGGUGGCCUAACCCCUUGUGGGAGGGAGCUGUCGAAAGGUGGGACUGGCGAUUGGGACUAAGUCGUAACAAGGUAACC